rnacentral:rRNA from 1 species
AGCAUGUGGUUUUAUUCGAAGCAACGCGAAGAACCUUACCAGGCCUUGACAUCCAAUGAACUUUCCAGAGAUGGAUUGGUUGCCCUCGGGAACAUUGAUGACAGGUGCUGCAUGGCUGUCGUCAGCUUGUGUCGUGAGAUGUUGGGUUAAGUCCACGUGAACGAGCGCGACCCUUGUCCUUAGUUACCAGCACGUAAUGGUGGGCACUCUAGAGGAGACUGCCGGUGACAAACCGGAGGAAGGUGGGGAUAGACGUCAAGUCAUCAUGGCCCGUUACGGCGCUGGGCUACACACGUGCGUACUAAUGGUCGGUGACUAGAGGGUGUGCCAAGCCGCGAGGUGGAGCUGAAUCCCCAGUAAAACCGAUCGUAGUCCGUGAUCAGCAGUCUGCGAACUCGACGUGCGCGAAGUCGGUAAUCGCCAUAGUAAUCGCGCUUAUAUACGUAGCUA